rnacentral:rRNA from 1 species
GUGGGGAAUAUUGGACAAUGGGGGGAACCCUGAUCCAGCCAUGCCGCGUGUGUGAAGAAGGCCUUUUGGUUGUAAAGCACUUUAAGCGAGGAGGAGGCUACUUUGGUUAAUACCUAAAGAUAGUGGACGUUACUCGCAGAAUAAGCACCGGCUAACUCUGUGCCAGCAGCCGCGGUAAUACAGAGGGUGCAAGCGUUAAUCGGAUUUACUGGGCGUAAAUCGCGCGUAGGUGGCCAAUUAAGUCAAAUGUGAAAUCCCCGAGCUUAACUUGGGAAUUGCAUUCGAUACUGGUUGGCUAGAGUAUGGGAGAGGAUGGUAGAAUUCCAGGUGUAGCGGUGAAAUGCGUAGAGAUCUGGAGGAAUACCGAUGGCGAAGGCAGCCAUCUGGCCUAAUACUGACACUGAGGUGCGAAAGCAUGGGGAGCAAACAGGAUUAGAAACCCCAGUAGUCC